GGCAACCCUGACGGAGCAACGCCGCGUGCGGGAAGACGGCCUGUGGGUUGUAAACCGCUUUUCUCAGGGAAGAAGAACUGACGGUACCUGAGGAAUCAGCAUCGGCUAACUCCGUGCCAGCAGCCGCGGUAAUACGGAGGAUGCAAGCGUUAUCCGGAAUUAUUGGGCGUAAAGCGUCCGCAGGCGGCUUUUCAAGUCUGCUGUUAAAGGUCGGGGCUCAACUCCGGUUCGGCAGUGGAAACUGAAAGGCUAGAGUGCAGUAGGGGUAGAGGGAAUUCCCAGUGUAGCGGUGAAAUGCGUAGAUAUUGGGAAGAACACCAGUGGCGAAGGCGCUCUACUGGGCUGCAACUGACGCUGAGGGACGAAAGCUAGGGGAGCG
rnacentral:rRNA from 1 species